UACGUAGGGGGCAAGCGUUGUCCGGAUUUAUUGGGCGUAAAGAGCGUGUAGGCGGCCACGCAGGUCCGUUGUGAAAACUGGAGGCUCAACCUCCAGCUGUCGACGGAAACCGUAUGGCUAGAGUCCGGAAGAGGAGAGUGGAAUUCCUGGUGUAGCGGUGAAAUGCGCAGAUAUCAGGAAGAACACCAAUGGCGAAGGCAGCUCUCUGGGACGGUACUGACGCUGAGACGCGAAAGCGUGGGGAGCGAACAGG
rnacentral:rRNA from 1 species